AUUUAAGAAAGAGGUCGGUGGGAAGAGAAGGAGGUAAAAAAAUAAAUAAAUAAAAGAAAGGAGGCUGCUUUCUCUCUACGCCAACCACCACCUUUGGCCUUUCCGCCACCGCCACAGCUGACGACGCUUUUAUGGUUUAUAAUGGCUUCUCAAAUAUCAGAGACCUGUCUUUGCAAUUCUUCGCUAUCAGUUCUGGAGAUUGUCGAAUCAAGAGAUCCAUUGAGCAUUGGCUUUGUUAACCAACAUUAAUAUAGAGCAUCUAUUGAAGAUUCAUGCCUAUUGUGAUAUUUUGAAUUUUAAAAUAAUAGAUUAGGAACAUGUCUGUGGUAAAGUUGAUCGAUUGAGAAAUAUAUAAGGAAUAUGUAGAAGGCAUUGCAGGAACUUUAUAUGUUGUAGUUAUAUUUUUUGCUUAACUUCAAGGAACUUUAUAUUGGAUAGCGAUUUCUGAAAGUUAUUCACUCUGUUUCAAGCUCUAGAAGUUUCCAGUUGAUAUUUUUAGGUAUAGAAAAAAAUAUUAAUUCUUUGAAUUGAAGGCUGAGGAAUGUGUUUGUAGAAUAAAAUAGCUUUAUAGGAUUCUUUUACAAGAAAUGAACAUCACGUAAUUGUAUCGCUCCUCUCAUAAGUGGAAUGUAGGAUAAAUUCUUCCUACACUUACAAGCUUAGAAUCUGAUUCCUCAUUCUCCAUUCUCACAUACAUUUGAAAAUAUUAUUGCCAACGAAGAUAUAAUUUCACUUCUUAUUCUGCAUCAACAUUCGAGGCCAAUUCUUAGUGACAAAACACUGCACUUUUUCCAUACUGUCCUCUUCGUUCCUUCUAGACUAUUCUACAAGCAUUUGGAUUUUCAUCGCUGAACAUUGAAGUGAUAUUUCCAUUUCCAUUGCCAUUGUUGCUGCUGUUAUAGUCGUCACUGUAGCGCUCCGGUCUACUACUGUAAUGCAUGUAUCGUGGCGGUGACCUGUUGCUAUAUUCAUAUUCAGUGACAUAAGGCGAUGGCUUGUAUGUGUUGUAGCUGUGCGUGACAUAAGGCAAUGGAGUGUACGUGUUGUCGCUGCGGGUCGCAUAGACAGGUGGGGAUGGCUCAUGUCGAUAUUGAGGGCUAUUUGGGUAAUUGUUCCAUUGUCCACCGUAGUUGUUACCAUAGCUAUGGCCAUAACCGUGACCAUACCCGUAUCUGUAGUCACAGACAGGUGGGUGGUGGUAUAUUACAUGAACCUCUUCUGCAUCUUUUGGUCUGGAUGGUUGUGGAGGCUGGCUUGCAGGGUCGUUAGCGGUAGUUGGUGGUGGUGCACCCGGUGGUGGAUUUUCUGGCGGUGGAGGUGGUGGGUCUUUUGGCGGCUCUGCUGGUGGGGCUCCUUCAGGUGGUGGUGGAUUUGCCAUGUCAGGGGCUGGUGCUUGUUCUGUUGGCUGACCCGGUGAUGUCUCUGUUGGCUGAGCAGGAUCUGCCCACCCGAUGAUUGUCAACUUUUGUUGAGGGAAGUCGAUGUAAUGAUCAUAAAUACCUGAAAGAUCCCAGACAAAGUUUGAGAUGUUAUUGGAAGGAACAACAGGAAAGAGAACAACAGAUUGAACUUAUUUUGAGGUACUCACUUAUCACUUACCAUUAAUGCCAUGUAGAGCCUUCUUAAUCUUCUGCACACACCCGUUGCAGUCCAUCCGGACUUGUAUCUCGGUGACUCGAGGUUUCUGCAUUUUUAGUGAAAAUUUUUAAUGCUUGGAAUUUGGAAAUGUUGUGAAGUGGAAACAUGAAAGAUGAAA